rnacentral:rRNA from 1 species
UACGAAGGGAGCUAGCGUUGUUCGGAAUCACUGGGCGUAAAGCGCACGUAGGCGGAUGUGUCAGUCAGGGGUGAAAUCCUGGAGCUCAACUCCAGAACUGCCCUUGAUACUGGCGGCCUUGAGUCCGGGAGAGGUGAGUGGAACUGCGAGUGUAGAGGUGAAAUUCGUAGAUAUUCGCAAGAACACCAGUGGCGAAGGCGGCUCACUGGCCCGGUACUGACGCUGAGGUGCGAAAGCGUGGGGAGCAAACAGG